ACGAUCCAAUCAAUUCCCGAAGGACGAAAUCAAGCCCUGCCCUACAUUUUUUUUCUAAUUUCAGAAGCCUUUUCACUCUGAUAUACGGCGAGGAAAAAACGACAAUCUCAACUUCUGUUUUACGCCGACUUUAAAUUCACAGACCAAACCAAUCAAAGCAGAGGAGCUAUAGCUGUAUCAAUGAAAAACCGCAGAUGUAGUAGGAACCACCCCUGAAUCUGUGACUGGAGAAAAAGGAAAAAACGCCACCCUGACAUGUGACUUUGAGGCCAGAGAUAUUUUUAAAUUAGUUUUAAACAGAUUU